CCUAGCGGCAGACGGGUGAGUAUAAUGUGGGAAUCUGCCUUUUGGUUCGGAACAACACGGGGAAACCUGUGCUAAUACCGGAUAAGUCCUAACGGAGAAAGUUUUAAUGCCAAAAGAUGAGCCCGCAUUUGAUUAGCUAGUUGGUAAGGUAAAGGCUCACCAAGCCGACGAUCCAUAGCUGGUUUGAGAGGAUGAUCAGCCACACUGGGACUGAGAUACGGCCCAGACUCC
rnacentral:rRNA from 1 species